rnacentral:rRNA from 1 species
UACGUAGGCAGCAAGCGUUGUUCGGAGUUACUGGGCGUAAAGAGUGUGUAGGCGGUUCGCUAAGUUUGGUGUGAAAUCUCCCGGCUUAACUGGGAGGGUGCGCCGAAUACUGGCGGGCUAGAGUGUGGGAGAGGGAAGCGGAAUUCCUGGUGUAGCGGUGAAAUGCGUAGAUAUCAGGAGGAACACCGGUGGCGAAGGCGGGUCUCUGGGCAACAACUGACGCUGAGGAGCGAAAGCCGGGGGAGCAAACAGG